rnacentral:rRNA from 1 species
UACGAAGGGGGCUAGCGUUGCUCGGAAUUACUGGGCGUAAAGCGCACGUAGGCGGAUUGUUAAGUCAGGGGUGAAAUCCCGGAGCUCAACUCCGGAACUGCCUUUGAUACUGGCGAUCUUGAGUUCGGGAGAGGUGAGUGGAACUGCGAGUGUAGAGGUGAAAUUCGUAGAUAUUCGCAAGAACACCAGUGGCGAAGGCGGCUCACUGGCCCGAUACUGACGCUGAGGUGCGAAAGCGUGGGGAGCAAACAGG